GUAACAUUAAUUCUUGAAUAUGAUUUGAAUCUGGAUGUACGGGAAAUAAAAUUAACAGUGUAAUGCUUAUGAUACACUUUGACCUCUUUUGCAACAUGCGCGCCAUCUCUUGCCCUUUCUGAGACACCUGAAGCUUUUGCAAAAAAAAAGUAUCGAUAGUUUGUCUCGCAAGUUUCCGUGAGUGCCUCCAUGGAUCUCAUAACUGACCACAAAAAGUAUUUCAAAAAACCCCUAAUUGAACUAAUCCUAGAGGCUAGCCAAAUAUCCGCUACCUGCUUGUAUAACACAAUACAAGCAAAGGUAGAAUGAGAUCGAUAGCUUAGAAACGUUUAAGGCAAAAUGAGAUGGGGUUGUUCGAAAUUGCGUUCGACAAAAAUAGGUACGCAAUAGGGGGGGUUUAUAAAAACUAAAUUUUCCGACCGACAUUUUAUUCUCGUGCGAUUCGUCAAGUUUUCUAAAUCGGUGAAAAUUUCAAAUUACCAGUUAGCCAAGUCAAUAGUGAUUUUGGGAAGACAAAAUUGUAAUAAUCAGUGAUCAAAACAGUUAAUUGAUUAUUUUACAAUCUUUGGUAAAAACCUAUUUUAAAUGAAAUCUAGUGGAAAACCUUUAACUUUUCUCGAAUAAUUUUCGUAGAUUAAGAUUAAGCCAGGAUAGCCAUUUUGAAAAUCACUCUAAGUGUGACUAAAAUACCAGAUCAAAAGGGUGAUUCCCGCUGGUCAUCGCGGGUGUUUAUCCGGAGUCGCCGACUUCUAGGAAAAUCAGUUCGUUGACUCGAACCAGCCCUGCGACCGGACCACUCUCAUGCGAGCGCCCAUCAAUCGCGCAACAUCCGAAAGCUUUCCGCAACGUUUCUCGUCGCAGCAUCGGCAAGCUCAUCCCAUAAUUGUUGCCCAAAUCGUCUCACACCGAAACAUCGCACAAUCGGCAAGCGUUAGGCACAGAAGUUUGAAGAAGUGCCACCUGCGGGUGAGUAGCCGAAACUGUGUUUACACGCAUAGCAAGCAAACGAACGGUGGAAACGGUUGCGUGUGGAUAGUUGUGUUGCGGAUCGACCCCUGCAUGUGGAGUGUGGAAC